UGAGUACGAGAUGCUACGGCGUCGAAGCAGUCUAGGUCAUACUUCCAAGAAAAGCUUGCACUGUCAUAAACAAAGAAUGCCUGUACCAUAACCGACACAGGUGGGUAGGUAGAGUAUACUAAGGGGCGCGAGAUAACUCUCUCUAAGGAACUCGGCAAAAUGACUCCGUAACUUCGGGAGAAGGAGUGCCUUAUUUUUAAGGUUGCAAUAACAAGAUCCAAGCAACUGUUUACCAAAAACACAGGUCUCCGCUAAGUCGUAAGACGAUGUAUGGGGGCUGACGCCUGCCCAGUGCCAGAAGGUUAAAGAAGUUGGUUAGCAUUUGCGAAGCUGAUAACUGAAGCCCUGGUGAACGGCGGCCGUAACAAUAACGGUCCUAAGGUAGCGAAAUUCCUUGUCGGGUAAGUUCCGACCCGCACGAAAGGCGUAAUGAUUUGGAUACUGUCUCGGAGAGGGGCUCGGUGAAAUAGACUUGUCUGUGAAGAUGCGGACUACCUGCACCUGGACAGAAAGACCCUAUGAAGCUUUACUGUAACUUGAGAUUGAAAUUGGACUUUAUUUGCGCAGUAUAGGUGGGAGGCGUUGAGAAUAAUCUUGCGGGAUUAUCGGAGCCAUCAGUGAGAUACCACUCUUGUAAUGUUAGAUUUCUAACUUUGUAUCAUUAUCUGGUCAAAGAACAGUUUCAGGCGGGCAGUUUGACUGGGGCGGUCGCCUCCCAAAGGGUAACGGAGGCGCACAAAGGUUUCCUCUGAACGGGUAGAAAUCGUAUCUAGAGUGUAAAGGCAUAAGGAAGCUUGACUGUGAGACCUACAAGUCGAGCAGGGACGAAAGUCGGUCUUAGUGAUCUGACGGUGCUGAGUGGAAAGGCCGUCACUCAACGGAUAAAAGUUACUCUAGGAUAACAGGCUGAUCUCCCCCAAGAGUUCACAUCGACGGGGAGGUUUGGCACCUCGAUGUCGGCUCAUCGCAUCCUGGGGCGGUAGUACGUCCCAAGGGUUGGGCUGUUCGCCCAUGAAAGCGGUACGCGAGCUGGGUUCAGAACGUCGUGAGACAGUUCGGUCCAUAUCCGGUGUAGGCGUUAGAAUAUUGAAAGGAGCCUUCUCUAGUACGAGAGGACCGAGAAGGACAUACCUCUGGUGUGCCAGUUAUCGUGCCAACGGUAAACGCUGGGUAGCUAUGUAUGGAGUGGAUAACCGCUGAAAGCAUCUAAGUGGGAAGCCCACCUUAAGAUAAGUAUUCUCAUC
rnacentral:rRNA from 1 species